rnacentral:rRNA from 1 species
CGAACGCUGGCGGCAUGCCUAACACAUGCACGUCGAACGAGACCUUCGGGUCUAGUGGCGCACGGGUGCGUACCGCGUGGGAACCUGCCCUUAGGUUCGGAAUAACUCCCCGAAAGGGGUGCUAAUACCGGAUAAUGUCUUCGGACCAAAGAUUUAUCGCCUUUGGAUGGGCCCGCGUUGGAUUAGCUAGUUGGUAGGGUAAAAGCCUACCAAGGCGACGAUCCAUAGCUGGUCUGAGAGGAUGAUCAGCCACACUGGGACUGAGACACGGCCCAGACUCCUACGGGAGGCAGCAGUGGGGAAUAUUGGACAAUGGGCGAAAGCCUGAUCCAGCAAUGCCGCGUGAGUGAUGAAGGCCUUAGGGUUGUAAAGCUCUUUUACCCGGGAUGAUAAUGACAGUACCGGGAGAAUAAGCUCCGGCUAACUCCGUG